rnacentral:lncRNA from 1 species
AAUUGUAGAUUGGAGAAUUCCGUAGCUUGCAGUUUCAUCAACCAAAAUGGCGUCAACUUCAAAAUCUCUGAAACUGCCAUGGUUAUCCCAAUAACCAUUACAUUUAAGCAUUAUCGGAAUUUUUGACAUUGUAGAAUCUCCUUACUGCCAAUCACGGAAGAGCUACAAAAUAUGAAAAAACAAGAGAGAAUCUGGGGGAAUUAGGCUAUCACUCAAUAACAAGAAAAUCUGAUUUUGAAUGGAAGAAUGAGACUAGUCAAUUUCCAAACAGUUUUGUCGAAUUUUAAAUGGAGGAAUGAGAGUACAGUUUUGACGAAUUUCUGUUUGGAGGAAUGGCUGUAGUCAAUUUCGAAACAGUUUAUUGUCGAAAAAAUCCAAUAGAUCUUCCGUUUAGAGGACAUAAUCGGUUUAGUUUAGAGGAUAUAUUUGGAGCAUUUAAUAUGUUACCUUAAUGUAAGGGAAAUUUAUUUGGUAGUAAAUCAAACAUUAAUUAUCAUUCAUAUGUUACCUUAAUGUAAGGGAAAUUUAUUUGGUAGUAAAUCAAACAUUUAUUAUCAUUCAAAACUGAUUGGCAUUCAAAACUGAUUGGCGUGAAAAGAAGAGAUAAGCAAAUAUCAUUAGCCUUAAUUGUCUAGUGUUAAUUUAUGAUGGAAAAUCAGCAAAUAUCUUGUUUGGUACAUAUUAUGUCACAAAAACAUGAGAUAUGAGGGUAAUAAACAAACAAUGCACAAUAAUGGUAGUAAGGUUUGUUAUAUGGGAUGUAUAGGUAAAAAUCCCUUU